rnacentral:lncRNA from 1 species
AGAGAGGGGAGUAAUUUGAGGGAUAUAGGGUAAUUGUUAAUUAAUUUUAUUUUUAUUAUUUUUAUUUUGUUUUUUUCAAAUUCCCCAAAACUCUUCCAGCUUUUGUCGUCUGUUUUCCCCUUUUCUCUGCCGAUUUUUCCUUGUAAUAUCCCGAAUUAGGGCCUAAUCGAAAUAGUGAUUUCGUGACCAUAAAUACGAGAUAGA